UACGUAGGAUCCGAGCGUUGUCCGGAUUUACUGGGUGUAAAGGGUGCGCAGGCGGACUGGUAAGUCAGUGGUGAAAUCUCGUCGCUUAACGACGAAACUGCCUUUGAUACUAUCAGUCUUGAAUCCGGUAGAGAUCUGUGGAAUUCCGAGUGUAGCAGUGAAAUGUGUAGAUAUUCGGAAGAACACCAGUGGCGAAGGCAGCAGAUUGGGCCGGUAUUGACGCUCAGGCACGAAAGCAUGGGGAUCAACAGG
rnacentral:rRNA from 1 species